GAUGAACGCUGGCGGCGUGCCUAAUACAUGCAAGUCGAGCGAACAGAUGAGGAGCUUGCUCCUCUGACGUUAGCGGCGGACGGGUGAGUAACACGUGGAUAACCUACCUAUAAGACUGGGAUAACUUCGGGAAACCUGAGCUAAUACCGGAUAAUAUAUUGAACCGCAUGGUUCAAUAGUGAAAUACGGUUUUGCUGUCUCUUAUAGCUUGAUCCGCGCCGCAUUAGCUAGUUGGUAAGGUAACGGCUUACCAAGGCAACGAUGCGUAGCCGACCGGAGAGGGAAAUCGGCCACACUGGAACUGAGACACGGUCCAGAAUCCUACGGGAGGCAGCAGUAGGGAAUCUUCCGCGAUGGGCGAAAGCCUGACGGAGCAACGCCGCGUGAGUGAUGAAGGUCUUCGGGUCGUAAAACUCUGUUAUUAGAGGAGAACAAAUGUGUAAUUAACUAUGCACGUCUUGACGGUACCUAAUCAGAAAGCCACGGCUAACUACGUG
rnacentral:rRNA from 1 species